AGUGAACGCUGGCGGUAGGCCUAACACAUGCAAGUCGAGCGGCAGCACAGUAAGAGCUUGCUCUUACGGGUGGCGAGUGGCGGACGGGUGAGGAAUACAUCGGAAUCUACUUUUUCGUGGGGGAUAACGUAGGGAAACUUACGCUAAUACCGCAUACGACCUCCGGGUGAAAGCAGGGGAUCUUCGGACCUUGCGCGAUUGAAUGAGCCGAUGUCGGAUUAGCUAGUUGGCGGGGUAAAGGCCCACCAAGGCGACGAUCCGUAGCUGGUCUGAGAGGAUGAUCAGCCACACUGGAACUGAGACACGGUCCAGACUCCUACGGGAGGCAGCAGUGGGGAAUAUUGGACAAAGGGCGCAAGCCUGAUCCAGCCAUACCGCGUGGGUGAAGAAGGCCUUCGGGUUGUAAAGCCCUUUUGUUGGGAAAGAAAAGCAGCAGGUUAAUACCCCGCUGUUCUGACGGUACCCAAAGAAUAAGCACCGGCUAACUUCGUG
rnacentral:rRNA from 1 species